UUUCAACCCUUCCCUGUGAGUUCUCUUUCUCCACAUCCCUCACCUAUCCCUUUCUCAUUCCUCUUCACCCACCCUGGUUGUCCUUUUCUCCUUCCUCUUCACCCACCUUGGUUGGCCCUUUCUCAGAUCUGCUUCGUAGACGGCGGGGCCGAGGGCUCGGAUCUGCCUCAUACCCUCCCAUUCCCUGUGAGUUCUCUUCUCCACAUCCCUCGGCCGCCUUUCUCCUUAUACCCGUGUCGACGACGAUGGAGCCUACGGCGAUCCGCGUCAUCCCUUAGCUCUCGACCUGCUAGCUGUCGCACUACCCGCCAAUCUUUCACCUAGGGCUCGGAUCCUUCGCUAUUCUCCGAGUUUUGGAGUCGAUUUGAGCAGGUUACUAAUGGCAUUUUCCACACACUCUCCUCAAAACAAAACAAUUCGGUGCAACUGCAAUGAGAUAGCCCUCAUAAGAGUUUCACAGAAGCCUCAAAGCAAAGGAAGAAAAUUCUAUGGCUGUCCAAACUAUGGAAAUGAGGAUAAUUAUUGCGACUUUUUCAUGUGAGUCAAGAGUCUCCUCCCAAAGAAAUUCACAAGAAUGGAUGCAACAACACAUAAAUUAUGAGUUAGCCAAAUCAGCUGAGCGUAUACAGAACCUGAAAGUUAGGAUUGAAGAAGCUGAAAGAAAGAUUUACUACAUCCUUUUCCUUAUAGUGGUUUUACUUGUUAAAAUAAUUUUUAUGUAGUUUCUAAUCUAAUAGUCAGUUGUGUUGAAGAAAAAAUAUUUUGUAUUCUAAUAUGUAAUA